GUGAGUAGGGAGCAGCCUAGGUCGGGUACUAGCAGCCAGUAGUGAGUAGGGAGCAGCUAGGUGAGCAGGGAGCAGCUAGGUGAGUACAGAGCAGCAGUAGUGAGUAGGGAGCAGCUAGGUGGGUACGAGCAGCAGUAGUGAGUAGGGAGCAGCUAGGUGAGUAUGGAGCAGCAGUAGUGAGCAGGGAGCAGCUAGGUGAGCAGGGAGCAGCUAGGUGAGUACGGAGCAGCAGUAGUGAGUAGGGAGCAGCUAGGUGAGUACGGUGCAGCAGUAGUGAGUAGGGAGCAGCUAGGUGAGUAUGGAGCAGCAGUAGUGAGCAGGAGCAGCUAGGUGAGCAGGGAGCAGCUAGGUGAGUACGGAGCAGCAGUAGUGAGUAGGGAGCAGCUAGGUGAGUACGGAGCAGCAGUAGUGAGUAGGGAGCAGCUAGGUGAGUACGGAGCAGCAGUAGUGAGUAGGGCGCAGCUAGGUGAGUACGGUGCAGCAGUAGUGAGUAGGGAGCAGCUAGGUGAGUACGGUGCAGCAGAGUGAGUAGGGAGCAUCUAGGUGAGUAUGAGCAGCAGUAGUGAGUAGGGAGCAGCUAGGUGAGUACGUGCAGCAGUAGUGAGUAGGGAGAAGCAGUAGUGAGUAGGGAGCAGUAUGUCUGUCUAUAAUAAGGUGUAGAAUACUACAUAUGUUGGCCCUAUAGGAGGAUUAAGCAAUUUUGGGAAAUACUAACAAAUAAUUGUUGGACUACUGUAAUUUAUCUAUAUCCUCUUACACGUCAGUGCUCCUGAUAGUAGAACAUACAGACUGUCAACCUGUUCUGUUUGCUCUUGAUAAACACCUGUUGUUACUGUUCUCUGAGGAUUUCCUGCCACACACAGCCGGUGGGCGCGUCAAGGCACACAGAGAGGCCGUCACUACUGUACCACAUGUUUCCUGUAACAACAGCAGAAAAGAACC